AACUGAACGGAGACAUGGUGAUGAAUCAUCGCAUCUUCUUUCUAGGCCUGAUCUUCUUCUCUUCCUUCAUAUCAACUAAUACCAUUCUUCAUGCAUAUGCAUCCAACCAAGCUCAACACAACUCAAUCGGUCUGUCAUCUCCUCCCUCAAACCGGAUUUCUACUCAUCGCCACCCUCGUCGGAUGGGCGUUACCCUUAAUAGAGAGUUCUGCGGCUCCACCCCCAUUCAUGGGAUCUGUGGAAGGAGUGGAAAUACACCAACACCAAGCGCUCCAUAGUACCGUCAAACUUUAGUCAAAUAGUGAAUAUGAAUAAGAGAAAUAUCAAGAGGGAGCUUUUACGUUAUACAGCCCUAUUUUACUACACUACGUACUUACAUGUACUGCAUGAUUGUUCAACAUAAUUUCUAUUCUAUCCUAUAAUAAAACUGUUUAAAAUAUUUCUAUAAG